UACAGAGGUCCCGAGCGUUGUUCGGAUUCACUGGGCGUAAAGGGUGCGUAGGUGGCUGGGAAAGUUUGAUGUGAAAGCUCAGGGCUUAACCCUGAAAUGGCAUUGAAUACUACUUAGCUGGAGGUUUGGAGGGGGGACUGGAAUUCUUGGUGUAGCAGUGAAAUGCGUAGAUAUCAAGAGGAACACCAGUGGCGAAGGCGAGUCCCUGGACAACACCUGACACUGAGGCACGAAAGCUAGGGGAGCAAACGGG
rnacentral:rRNA from 1 species